ensembl:lncRNA
GUAAAUUUCCUGAAGUUGGAAGUUGGUUAAAAAUCAAUGUAUAAUCUAAGUCCACCAACAGCUGGCUUGUCUACAAUUUGGAAGUUGGAAGUAGGUAAAUGUCCUGAAGUUGGAAGUUGGUUAAAAAUCAAUGUAUUGUCUAAGUUUUGUCAGAGUGUCACCAUUGAAUAUAUGUCAAUUUGGAAGCUGGAAGUAGGUAAAUGUCCUGAAGUUGGAAGUUUUGUCAGAAUUUUUGUCAGAGUGUCACCAUUGAACAUAUGUAGAUUUGGAAGUUGGAAUUCGUCAGUGUCACCAUUGAACAUAUGUAGAUUUGGAAGUUGGAAUUUGGAAGUGUGACCAUUGAACAUGUGUGGAUUUGGAAGUUGGAAUUUGUCAGUGUCACCUUUGAACAUAUGUAGAUUUGGAAGUUGGAAUUUGGAAGUGUGACCAUUGAACAAGUGUGGAUUUGGAAGUUGGAAUUUGUCAGUGUCACCAUUGAACAUGUGUAGAUUUGGAAUCUUCCCCAUUGACAAUAAAUGUAGAGGCGGUUGUUGCACUUACUUUGUUUGGUGAAGUUGUCUGUUAGUCUAUCGGGUAGUCUGUGUUGGCUCCAAGCUCUAACAUGAAUGAAAAAAU